UAACGCGUGGGUAACCUGCCUCAUACAGGGGAAUAGCAGCUGGAAACGGCUGAUAAAACCGCAUAAGCGCACAGUGCCGCAUGGCACAGUGUGAAAAACUCCGGUGGUAUGAGAUGGACCCGCGUCUGAUUAGCUGGUUGGCGGGGUAACGGCCUACCAAGGCGACGAUCAAUAGCCGACCUGAGAGGGUGACCGGCCACAUUGGGACUGAGACACGGCCCAG
rnacentral:rRNA from 1 species